CUGGAAGACAUGCGCUCGGGUGGUGAAGAUGGGCUGUUCUCUGCAAUAAGAGAGUGGGCGUAUAAUAGAAUUGCACAUAGAGAACACCCAAGAAAAUCAACUGAAAAAGAUAUCACCAAGGUGGCCUCAAGAAUUGAUAGGAUCCCAGCCACAAGUGAAGGCCUUACUCAGGGAAGUCACAACGGGUUGCUCGUCCAUACAGGAUCAAGGACAGGUUGGCCUGUUGGCCAGACGCCCAGCACAAACAGCUCAGCCCAGUGAGGGAGAGUCAUUAGAUGAAGAAAUGGAAGCUCAAAGAAGGUCAGCACAUUGCUCCAGUCACACAGGCAGUGAAUGGCCAGGCAAAGA